GUUGUAGUCUGGAGAAGUGCUUUCCGCGCUGGACCGUGUAUAAGUCUCUUGGAACAGAGCGUCAUAGAGGGUGAGAAUCCCGUCUUUGACACGGACUACCAGUGCUUUGUGAUGCGCUCUCAAAGAGUCGCGUUGUUUGGGAAUGCAGCGCAAAAUGGGUGGUGAAUUCCAUCUAAAGCUAAAUAUUGGCGAGAGACCGAUAGCGAACAAGUACCGUGAGGGAAAGAUGAAAAGCACUUUGGAAAGAGAGUUAAACAGUACGUGAAAUUGCUGAAAGGGAAACGCUUGAAGUCAGUCGCGUUGUCCGGGACUCAGCCUUGCUUCGGCUUGGUGCACUUCCCGGAUGACGGGCCAGCAUCGAUUUUGACCGCUGGAAAAGGGCUGGAGGAAUGUGGCACCUUCGGGUGUGUUAUAGCCUCCAGUCGCAUACGGCGGUUGGGAUCGAGGAACGCAGCACGCCUUUACGGCGGGGGUUCGNCCACCUUCGUGCUUAGGAUGCUGGCAUAAUGGCUUUAAACGACCCGUCUUGAAACACGGACCAAGGAGUCUAACUUGCAUGCGAGUGUUUGGGUGGAAAACCCGAGCGCGUAAUGAAAGUGAAAGUCGAGACCUCUGUCGUGGAGGGCACCGACGCCCGGACCAGACGUUUACUGACGGAUCCGCGGUAGAGCAUGUAGGUUGGGACCCGAAAGAUGGUGAACUAUGCCUGAAUAGGGUGAAGCCAGAGGAAACUCUGGUG
rnacentral:rRNA from 1 species